GGAAGAUCCUGAGAGAGGCGUGUGCGGUGUCGCAUGUUAGUGACCUCUGUAUUGUCUUUGAGAAAAGGGGGAAUGCAGGUCCUUAACAGGGAGGAGUGGGCCACUUCUGGAGGCCCAGGUGGCUCAGGAGAAUCUGGGGAGUCUAGAUUUCUGAGUGCCUCCAUCCAGAUGUGCCCUUCCCAAUCUGACAGUCCCAGUCCUUCUCAGUCAGGAGUCUGACCCCGGCACCGUACACUUCCUGAGGUCGAGAGUUAAAUCUUCUCUGGAGCCCCACUGCCCUUGAAAGGAAUGUGGGGCCUGGUCCUCAGCCGUUUCUGAUCUUCGGCUGCAAGAGACAAGAGUUUCUUCACGAGCUGCCAAGGAGGCCUUCUCUCCCUCGGCCUUUGUGAUCUCUGUCCGCCGCCCUGGCAACCCCACAACAGCUGUCUGACUCCACAGUCAAGGGCCCGAGAUAGCACCCCCUGCUGGACUCCCUUCCUACUUUGUGCUGGGGAAAUUUUUCACAGUUGUCUCACUACAUUGCCGGGGGCUCAGUUCUCCCUCUUACACCAAUCGUGGGGAUUUCCGUUCAGCUAGCUGGUGGGUGAUUCAGCCCCGAAGUCUCAGGUUAGGGGCUGCUUCCUCAGACCAUCCUGAUAGCAACUCUCUUGGGUGGAGGUCCCUGAGACACUGGGUGGGAUGCCUGCCACAGCAUGGCUUGAUAAGCGGCGUGUAUGUCCGCACCCGGGAUCUGAACCUGUGAACUCUGGGCCGCUGAAGUGGAACGUGCGAACUUAACCGCUGCACCACUGGGCCCGCCCCCACAAUUCUCAUUUAACAGCGCCCUAUGCAAACAGGAUGAAAGCUGUGGACCCCCGCUCCAGGAAAGUGCCAUUCAACAAUGAUUCUAAAUGGCUGAGGACUGAAAAGGCUAGAACUGACCAGAGUCACACAGCUAUUACAGGCAAAGGCUGUGCUUGGCGGCAGCUGUUCCCACUGCUGCUCGGGAGCCUGCGGAGGGCCCAGGUCAACUUCCGUCUCCUAAAGGAUCCUGUUAGAGGCCCCAGUACGUAAACGGGGGAUAAAAGGGCACGUGGGACACGGUUUACCAGCAAGUCAUCAACACUGUGGCUUUCCCUAAGUGGGGGUCUCC
rnacentral:lncRNA from 1 species